CCUUUCUCUUCCUCCGAAUAAGCCAUUUCCAAAGAAUCCCUAACUCACAGCACCACCUCCACCGAUCCCUACUCCCUAGUUAGCUCAGCUCAGGCCAAAAUGAAAGAAAAUUUUCAUUUGUUAAGUCGCUUCCGAGCUUGAUGUCGAAGCUCAGCUCAGCUCAGGCCAAAAUCGAAGCUCUCUCUCAUUUCUCUUGUUGAAGCUCUCUCUCAUUUCUCUCGGCUCUAGCUUCUUCAUUUGCGGUCUCGGAGCUCCCCACCAGUUGUAACUGUAAGCUUCUUCUUCAUUUACCACAACUUGAAUAUUACUUGUAGGCUGUAGUUUAACUUUUUUUUCUUAUUCUUCUUCAUUUGCGGUCUGUAGCUUUAUUUUUACCUUAUUCUGAUUUUGGUUUUUCUGCUAUUUUGUUUAUAGGUUUUGUGGUUUUUCUUAUUCUAGUUUUUCUGCUAUUGUGUUUAUAGUUUUUGUGGUUUUUCUUAUUCUGGUUUUUCUGCUAUUAUGUUUAUAGUUUUUGUGGUUUUUCUUAUUCUGGUUUUUCUUCUAUUGGGCUUUUCUGCUAUUGUGUUUAUAGUUUUUGUAGGUCUUCUUAUUCUGGUUUUUCUGCUAUUACUGUCUCUAGCUCUCGUAAUUCAUCCAAUAAAUAAUUUCAAAAAAAUUAAAUCGGUAAAAAAUUUGACACUUUUUUUAAUCGAAGUUGAAUAAAUGGAUAUUUAAGUUAAAUUUGGACCCGAGAAAUAGUGGCCUAUGUUUGAAUGCUUCAUGUUCUAUAAUUUCUAAAGUCAACUUUUUCAUUAAUCUUAAUUAAUAAAGUUAGAUUCCAUAUUUAAUUAGGGCCUGAAAAUUAAAUUUAGACUUAAUUCCAAAAAGUAAGCACCAAUAUAAAAUUAUUUAAUUUAAUUGUCAUUAUAAGGUUAUUUUUUUACUAAAUUCAAAGACAAAAAUCAUUACAAGGUUCUUUUUUUACUAAAUUCGAAGACAAAAAUCAUACCUGAUUUGAGCAUAUUUUUAUUAUUUUCUUUGUUAUGAUAAAUCUUAAAAUUGCAUAUAAAUUUAUCAUUAAACAAAGCAAUUGAAUUUGGCAGUGGGAUUUAUCUCGUCUCAACUCUCAAGUUAACAUGUCAGCUUUUAAAAAUUUCAAGAAAUUUUAGUUUGAGUCAUUAUUCUACAAACCUCAGUGAUCGAACUGAUGAAAACACGUGUAUUUUCAAAAGAUUUAUGUUUACUACUUAUGAUGAUGCAUCUCUCAUUUUCACAGCAUGGUUUAUAUGCUCUUUAUUUGUCUUUUAUUAUGUUUUCAAUUUGUGUAGUGUUUUAAGAAUUGUUUUAGUAUCAUUUUUUAUUUGUUUCUUGUUUUAAUAUUUAUUUUUAUGUUUUUAAAUGUAUUUGAUUUAUUACAUUUUAAAAUUUUUUAUUUAAUAAAAAAAGCUAAAAAAAUAUUACAAAUUGCCUUAUUCACUUGCAAAUACCACACUUAAUUAUAUAUAUUUUAUUUACAUGAUUUUUACUCUAAACGUUUGCACGUUUAAAGGCGGUUAUACUCCCCACUAAUGGCAACAUCACAUUAAAUCUUUGAGUCGACGCAUUCCAAUCUUGUGUAAUAGACUUUCAAACGUUAAAGUUGACAAUGCCUUGGUAAAAAGAUCUAUUAAAUUAUCACUAGAACAACUUUGUUGAAAUUCUAUAUCACUAUUUUUUUCUCAAUAUCAUGAGUGAAGAAUAAUUUUGGUGAAAUAUGUUUCGUUCUAUUACCUGUGAUGUAACCAUCCUUCAAUUGAGCUAUAUAUGUUGCAUUGUCUUCAUAUAAGAUAGUUAGCAUCUUUUCUUGUAAAGAAAAUUUACAUAUCUUCUGGAUAUAUUGGGUCAAUAACCUUAGUCAAACACACUCUCCCAAACACACUCUCGACUUGCCUCAUGCAUUGCAAUUAUUUCUACAUGAUUUAAGGAGGUAGCAACUAAUUUAUGCUUUGUUGAACACCAUGAUAUGGCAGUACCUCCACAUAUAAAUAAAUAUCUCGUUUGAGAUCGACCUUUAUGUAACGCCCCAAGUUUUAAUUUAUGUUUUGAUUAAAUAUGACACAAGUGUGUAUCUACUUCAGUGGUUAAGUGUUCUGGGUGUGUGUGUGUGAGGUCCCAAGUUCAAUCCUUAGCUUGGGAAAAUUUUAUAUUUUUAAGACUAAAGCCCGAUCCCUAGUUAAUAGGCUUAUAUUUAUUGUUUGCGAAAACAUAUCAGAAUGGACCUGCUAGUUUGGUGGUUAAGUGGAGUGUUGGAGUGAUGGAGGUCUGGUGUUCAAAUCUCAGUGGAAACGAUGAGUGUAAUAUCUUUUUGCUUCUGGAUGUACUAGGUGUGUGAAAGAGUUUGAGGGGAGGUGAAAUUCGGAUAGUGGGCAGUUGUUGAGAGGACAUUGUGGGGGUAGUGGAUUGGAGGUUAAAUUCAUCUUCUGACAUUUCGUUUUCCCCCAACUCUGCCAAAAUUUUUUCCCCGUUUUGCCGAAAUUUGCCUUUCUCUUUCUUUUCUAUUCUCAAUUUCGUUUCCAACUCGUAUUGGUUGCACAGCGUAGUCACGCAUUCGGUAAGUUUUGGUCUUCAUUUAGCCUUAAAUUGUUCUUUCUCUGAAUAUUGAUUAAGAGGGGUUUUGGUUGGUUUUUAGGUGGUGGUCGAGGGGCUAGAGACCAGCCAUUACAGUAUUAAGAGUGCGAAGUUCUUCAUCUUGAUCAAAGGUGAGGUUUUGAUAGAGUAUCUAUGGUCAGUAUCGUUAUGUUUUUGCUUGAAAGACGAUUUAAGUGACUGAAAUUGGGCUUUGGAUUGUCGAUUUUAGGUACUGGAGUGCUUGGGACUGUUUAGGUAUCAAUAUUGACACAAAUGUGUACUCGAAAACAUAGAAAACGAGAAUCGACGAAAGCUAAAAAAUAAUCCUGUCGACGCCACAUGGGGGUGUGGUUUCCCGUGAGGUAGGCCGUGUGGCAGUACACGGGCAUGUGAUCGAUGAGUAAGGCCAUGCGCUACAGACACAGGCACAUGACACGGCCGUGUAAUGACCGAUGAGGUCAUGUGCGAAACAUGGGCUUGACCUAUACGGCCGUGUAGGACACACGGGCGUAUGAGCUCACACAGGUGUGUGGGAUUUUGGGCCAGGCCGUGUGGAUCCAAUUUGGGCCAUGUGGGCCACAUGGGCGUGUAAGCCCAUUUUUCUGAAAUAAUCUAUAAGGUCACAUGGGUCGCCUGAGUCGACUGUGACCUACCUGGGGUAGGUAAGCAUUACUUAGACCCCUGAUUUUGUGAUCUGGUUAUGUGAUGUACGUAGUAAGCAUGUUACUCUUAGCAUGUGUAUUUGAUCGAUUGUAUGAUCUGUUAAGUUGCAUUAUAGCAUGCCAUAUUGUAUGUUUGCCUUGCAUCGGGCUGGGUUGUUAUUAUUUGGAGGAAGUAUCUGAAAGACUCCUAAGCCUGAUAUCUGGCAGCUCAGCUAUAUUAUCCUGUUUAUGUGUUGCAUUUUGGUACAGUAUGGUGUGUAGGGAUAGGUGAGUUGAUUAUAUCCCCACAUAGUGUGUAGGGCUGGAUGAAGAUGGUGUGUAGAGGCUGGUGGGUAGGAUUCUGAUAUUCUGAUCUGCAUUCUGUAUCUGAGUGGGCUAAGGCCCAUACUGAUUCUGUAAUGGGCUCUGGUCCAAACUGUAUAUACAUGAUUGAUUUUCUGAUAUUAUGCUUUGUGCACGUAUUCUGUGGGAAUUACACACAGAGUUUGCAAAAAUUCACCCCUUUCUGUUUGAUCUGUUCAGGUAAUCCCCAGCAUUAGACGGAUCGGAGCAGUGAAGGACUCGCCAGUAACCACUGCUACUGCUACAUGACAAAUUUACGGUUUCUUCUUAUCAUUGUUUUAAUUUUUAUUUUGGGAAAAUUUUGAUGUAAUAAUGGCCAUUACGGGUUUUAUCACUAUAAAAGCACGACGUUUUCUAGAAAUUAAAGUUUCCUAGAAACGAAUAGUUUUCCUUUUAAAAAUAAAAGUUCACAAGCUUUCGCGUAAAAGAAAUGUUUUAAAUACAAAUCAAUUAGUCCAGGUUUUUCUUGAACUAGGUAAAAGAUAAUAACUGGAACGGUUUUAAGAUCAAUGUGUUUAUAAAAACACUCUCAUGUGACAUCGC
rnacentral:lncRNA from 1 species